rnacentral:lncRNA from 1 species
AUUCAUUAUAAUUGUGCCCCUAAGGUUAUAGCAAGUUCCUGUUAAAGGUUCAAGUACAUUAGGUUAAUGACACUAAGAGGAUAAGUACAAUUCUCUGCUAUUGAAGACUACAUUGAGAAGUUAAUUGUUUGCUGUUUGAAGCUGUACAUUAACUGAAGACUAUAAAGAAUUACUUAACAUUAUUGUUUAUAACUUUAGCAUUUUUG